ACCUGGACACACACACACACACACACACCUUUUACUUUAAAUACACUCUGGACAUCUGAUCGACUGGCUGUUCCAUCCUCACACAUGAAAACAUUUAUCCAGAAUUUCUCUUUUUCAUUGAUCCGAUUUGAUUGAGCUGCUUCAUAAACAGAAAAAUUCAGUAACAGAGGCUGACAGAUUCCUGAUAGCUGGGAUCAGAGCCGGCCCAAGAUAUAUGCAAGUUAAAUAUCUGGACCACCAGGGGGCUCCAAAGAGCACCAGCUAGCAUAAUAAAAUAUAUAUAUUGAAAAUAACAUUGGAUAGUACAAACUAAAUGCUAUUAAAACAAAAAUGUCUAAAAUGUUUUUAUAGUUAGUACACAUAUGACAAAUUAAUCCCGUAUAACAUGUCAAACUUGUUAACUGACUGUAAAUUUAAUGUUUAUCAGCUGAUGUUACUUAUAAAUAACUAAAAUAAAACCACACACUUAAUAUUCUGCAUCUCAAAAUCUUUUUUUUUUGUUUGCUGCUCUCAUAAAGUUAAAUUUAAUAGUCAUGUUAAAAGCUAUAACACUGGCAUGAUGUAAGCUAAUUACAAAGGAUGCUAAUUGUGGUAGGGAUGUUAAACAUACAGAGUAGUGUAGAAAUGAUGAAGCAUGUUGGUAAAGGCGAAUGGGGGCCCGGAAUGACAAUCUACUUUGGGCCCCAAAAAGGCUUUGGCCGGCCCUGGCUGGGCUGUAACAGAUACUCAGAGUGUGUUUUAGUCCAGAGCCGUCCUGUGGUCACAUUAGCAGCAGCGUGGUGUGUGUUGGAGCGCGCUCAGUGAGAUCAGUGUCAGCGGGUUGGAAGUGAGCGCAGGCGGCGGCCAUAAUGCGCUCAUUCAGGUCCGACCAGCACCAAUCUUGUGACCCAGAACAACGGACGCCAUUAUCUCUGUACGGCUCUCUGCAUGAUGCUGAGAACCGUUCUGUUUCUAACAGACACACACACACACACACACACACACACACACACAGUCUGAGGGCAUCUAUACUCCCUCAGCAUCACUCCAACACCUUCUAACCAGAUUAAGUUGUGACAGAGUUUUCUGCAGCAGCAGAAAUGAUGAUGGCGGCCUGGUGUUGGUGCGGCGGCGGCGUGUGGACGGCUGUGACGUGUUUUGGACUCUGGGAAGUGGGACAGCGUUGUGUCCUGACACGGCAUCGCCAGCGGCCAGAGAGCGAUGGGCCUCCAGGGAAAACAAUGCCGGAACCUGAGAAACAACAGGAACUUCACCGAAGGAGCAAAAACAACAACAACCAGGCCUUUAAGCGUUUUCUUACCUUGGCUUCCCACUCCAUCCCAGCUACGGAGAUUCCCAGCAGCAGGAUGACGGUCAGCGUCCCGACGAUGCG